AGCGAACGCUGGCGGCAGGCCUAACACAUGCAAGUCGAACGAAGUCUUCGGACUUAGUGGCGGACGGGUGAGUAACACGUGGGAACGUGCCUUUAGGUUCGGAAUAACUCAGGGAAACUUGUGCUAAUACCGAAUGUGCCCUUCGGGGGAAAGAUUUAUCGCCUUUAGAGCGGCCCGCGUCUGAUUAGCUAGUUGGUGAGGUAAAGGCUCACCAAGGCUACGAUCAGUAGCUGGUCUGAGAGGAUGACCAGCCACAUUGGGACUGAGACACGGCCCAAACUCCUACGGGAGGCAGCAGUGGGGAAUCCUGCGCAAUGGGCGAAAGCCUGACGCAGCCAUGCCGCGUGGAUAAUGAAGGUCUUAGGAUUGUAAAAUCCUUUCACCGGUGAAGAUAAUGACUGUAGCCGGAGAAGAGGCCCCGGCUAACUUCGUGCCAGCAGCCGCAGUAAUAC
rnacentral:rRNA from 1 species